GACGAACGCUGGCGGCGUGCUUAACACAUGCAAGUCGAGCGGUAAGGCCUCGGGUACGACGAGCGGCGAACGGUGAGUAACACGUGGGUGACCUGCCUCUAGCUCUGGGAUAAGCCUGGGAAACUGGGCCUAAUACCGGAUAUGACUCCACGGCGCAUGUUGUGGGGUGGAAAGCCUUGUGUGGCUAGAGAUGGGCCCGCGGCCUAUCAGCUUGUUGGUGGGGUG
rnacentral:rRNA from 1 species